rnacentral:rRNA from 1 species
CAGUCGCCGCGGUAAUACGUAGGUCCCGAGCGUUGUCCGGAUUUAUUGGGCGUAAAGGGAGCGCAGGCGGUUUAGUAAGUCUGAAGUUAAAGGCAUUGGCUCAACCAAUGUAUGCUUUGGAAACCGUUAGACUUGAGUGCAGAAGGGGAGAGUGGAAUUCCAUGUGUAGCGGUGAAAUGCGUAGAUAUAUGGAGGAACACCGGUGGCGAAAGCGGCUCUCUGGUCUGUCACUGACGCUGAGGCUCGAGAGCGCGGGUAGCGAACAGGAUUAGAUACCCCUGUAGUCCCUGUCUCUUAUACC